rnacentral:rRNA from 1 species
ACGGGAGGCAGCAGCUAAGAAUAUUCCGCUAUGGACGAAAGUCUGACGGAGCGACGCCGCGUGGAUGAUGAAGGUCGAAAGAUUGUAAAAUCCUUUUGGAAGUGGGGAAUAAGCAUUGCAGGGAAUGGCAGUGUGGUGACUGUAGCGUCUGAAUAAGCAACGGCUAAUUACGUGCCAGCAGCCGCGGUAACACGUAAGUUGCGAGCGUUGUUCGGAAUUAUUGGGCGUAAAGGGCAUGUAGGCGGUCGUGAAAGUUUGGUGUGAAAGCCCGGGGCUUAACCCAGGAACUGCAAUGGAAACUGCAGGACUAGAAUUACUGAAGGGCAACCGGAAUUCCAAGUGUAGGGGUGAAAUCUGUAGAUAUUUGGAAGAACACCAAUGGCGAAGGCAAGUUGCUGGCAGAUAAUUGACGCUGAGGUGCGAAGGUGCGGGGAGCAAACAGGAUUAGAUACCCUGGUA